rnacentral:rRNA from 1 species
GAUGAACGCUGGCGGCGUGCUUAACACAUGCAAGUCGAACGGGAAUUAUUUUAUUGAAACUUCGGUCGAUUUAAUUUAAUUCUAGUGGCGGACGGGUGAGUAACGCGUGGGUAACCUGCCUUAUACAGGGGGAUAACAGUCAGAAAUGGCUGCUAAUACCGCAUAAGCGCACCGAGCUGCAUGUCUCAGUGUGAAAAACUCCGGUGGUAUAAGAUGGACCCGCGUUGGAUUAGCUGGUUGGUGGGGUAACGGCCCACCAAGGCGACGAUCCAUAGCCGGCCUGAGAGGGUGAACGGCCACAUUGGGACUGAGACACGGCCCAGACUCCUACGGGAGGAAGCAGUGGGGAAUAUUGCACAAUGGGGGAAACCCUGAUGCAGCGACGCCGCGUGAAGGAAGAAGUAUCUCGGUAUGUAAACUUCUAUCAGCAGGGAAGAUAGUGACGGUACCUGACUAAGAAGCCCCGGCUAACUACGUG